rnacentral:rRNA from 1 species
UAGGGAAUCUUCCGCAAUGGGCGAAAGCUUGACGGAGCAACGCCGCGUGAGUGAUGAAGGUCUUCGGAUCGUAAAACUCUGUUAUUAGGGAAGAACAAAUGUGUAAGUAACUGUGCACGUCUUGACGGUACCUAAUCAGAAAGCCACGGCUAACUACGUGCCAGCAGCCGCGGUAAUACGUAGGUGGCAAGCGUUAUCCGGAAUUAUUGGGCGUAAAGCGCGCGUAGGCGGUUUUUUAAGUCUGAUGUGAAAGCCCACGGCUCAACCGUGGAGGGUCAUUGGAAACUGGAAAACUUGAGUGCAGAAGAGGAAAGUGGAAUUCCAUGUGUAGCGGUGAAAUGCGCAGAGAUAUGGAGGAACACCAGUGGCGAAGGCGACUCUCUGGUCUGUAACUGACGCUGAGGCUCGAAAGCGUGGGUAGCAAACAGG